rnacentral:siRNA from 1 species
UGUAAGGGACCUUAAGAGAG